GGUGGGUGGUGCUCUUGUGGUUCCUGUCACUAAAUACUCAGUUUUUCAUGGCAGGAAGGGCGUCUGCUUGUCAGCAGCUGCUGAGAAAAAUAGGCCAGACUUCUCAGGAGCUGGGGCGGUGGGGCUGGGUGGGAGUCCAGCCACGAUGUCGUCACACUGGAGGGCAUGCAGAGGAAAUGCCUACUCCCUGUUCGAACAAAAUCCAUUAACCCAGCAAAGCAUACGAACAAAACGCAAACAGAUUGGGCCCCAAAUUGCUUCCCUGGCCCAGAUCGACCCCCAACAAAGUCUGCAUGUUGUCGUGGAAUUAAUCGACUAAGGUUAUCAGUGAACAAAUCAAUUUGUUUGAAGUGGCCUGCUCAAGCAGUAAAGUGCAUCUGCCACCUACUUGAGGAAGUUCAUCCAGCAUUGCUUUCUGAAAUAAAAUGCAGAAAGUGCUGGAGAAAUUCAGCAGGUCCACCAGCACCUGUAGAGUGAGAAACAACAGUUAAAGUUUCAACUUCAAUAUGACUUCUUCAGAACUCUCCACAACUUUGGGUCUACCACAGCAAAUGGACUGCAGAGAUUCAAGAAGAUAGCUCACUACCACCUUCUCAAGGACAUCAAGUGAUCUCAGUCAGUGGGACAGUAAAGAUUGCAUUGACCUCAGCCUUCCUGUGUUAUGACUGCAGCAAUACAGAAGCAAUGUCCAACAUCUCUUCACCCUUGGCCGGAGGAUUGUCAAUGGUAGGAGAAUAUGAAUGGCCAAUUUGUCGACUCUCAGCGCAAUGUUGCAGAACAAUGGAAUGGAAACAAUGGAGAAAAUACGUCUAGUAUUCAAAAGUUCUUCCAAGUAUUUCAGUUGAAAUCUUUUCUGGACUCUGCCAAAUUGCAAUUAAAAACAGAAAACGCUCAGCAGAAUCUGGGAACUUCUGUGGAGAGAGAAAUGGAGCUAAUAUGUCAUGCUAAUGUUGCUGCAUCAAAAUGUAAACUGCACUGGCACAUUGCAAGAUUUCAUCUCUUAUUUCCCAGAAGAUAAAAGUUACAAAUGGAAA